rnacentral:lncRNA from 1 species
ACCCUCUGAGCCAUGUGCAGGAUAUAAUCUCCUGGUGCGCUGUUUCCUAAGCCCGUUGGAAAAGCACAGUAUUGGGGUGGGAGUGACCCGAUUUUCCAGGUGCCGUCUGUCACCCACUUCCUUGACCAGGAAAGGGAACUCCUUGACCCCUUGCACUUCCCGAGUGAGGCAAUGCCUCGCCCUGUUUUGGCUCGCACAUGGUGCGCUGCACCCACUGUCCUGCACCCACUGUCUGGCACUCCCUAGUGAGAUGAACCCGGUACCUCAGAUGGAAAUGCAGAAAUCACCCAUCUUCUGUGUCACUCACGCUGGCAGCUGUAGACCAGAGCUGUUCCUAUUCAGCCAUCUUGGCUCCUCCCACAUUUUCUUUAUUCAAUCCACUGUUAUGGGCAUCUAGGUUGAUUCCAUGUCUUUGCUAUUGUGAAUAGUGUUGUGAUGAAUAUAUGGGUACAUAUGCCCUUUUGGUAGAAUAAUUGAUUUUCUUUUGGGUAUAUACCCAGUAACAGGAUUGCUGGGUCAAAUGGUAGUUCUCAAAGUUCUUUGAGAAAUCUCCAAACUGCUUUCCACAGUGGCUGAACUAAUUUACAUUCCCACCAGUAGCGUAUAACCAUUCCUUUUUCUCUGCAGCCAUGUCAGCAUCUGUUGUUUUCUGACUUUGUAAUAAUAGCCAUUCUGACUGGUGUGAGAUGGUAUUUCAUUGUGGUUUUGAUUUGCAUUUCUCUGAUGAUUAGUGAUGUUGUGUCUUUUUUCAUAUGCUUGUUGGCUGCUUAUAUGUCUUCUUUUGAGAAGUAUCUGUUCAUGUCUUUUGCCCAUUUUUUUAAUGGGGUUAUUUGGUUUUUGCUUGUUCAAUUGUUUAAAUUCCUUACAGAUUCUGGAUAUUCGACCUUGAUUGGAUGCAUCAUUUGUGAAUAUUUUGUAGGUUGUCUGUUUACUCUGUUGAUGGUUUCUUUUGCUGUCCAGAAGCUCUUUAAUUAGGUCCCACUUGUCAAUUUUUGUUUUUGUUGCAAUUGCUUUUGAAGACUUAGUCAUAAUUUUUUUCCCAAGACCAAUGUCUAGAAUGGUGUUUCCUAGGUUUUCUUCUAGGAUUCUUAUACUUAAGGUCUUACAUUUAAUUCUUUAAUCCAUUUGAGUCAAUUUUUGUAUAUGGUGAAAGAUAGGGGUCCAAUUUUAUUCUUCUGCCUAUGGCUUGUCAGCUAUCCCCACAUCAUUUAUUGAACAGGGAGUCCUUUCCCUAUUGCCAAUUUUUGUUGACUUUGUUGAUGGUCAGAUGGCUGUAGGUGUGCUAUCUUAUUUCUGGACUCUCUGUUCUGUACCAUUGGUCUGUGUGUCUGUUUUUGAACCAGUACCAUGCGUUUUGGUCACUGUAGCCUUAUAGUAUAGUUUGAAGUUGGGUAAUGUGAUGCCUCUAGCUUUAUUCUUUUUGCUUAGGAUUGCUUUGUCUAUUCAGGCUUUUUUUUGGUUCCAUAUGAAUUUUAGAAUAGUUUUUUUAUAAUUCUGUGAAAAAUGAUAUUGGUAGCUUGAUAAAAAUAGCACUGGAUCUAUAGAUUGCUUUGGGCAGUAUGGCCAUUUUAACAAUAUUGAUUCUUCCAAUUCAGGAACAUGGAAUAUUUUUCCAUUUGUUUUGUGUCAUCCAUGAUUUCUUCCAGCAACGUUUUUUAGUUCUCCUUGUAGAGGUCUUUGACCUCCUUGGUUAGAUGUAUUCCUAGGUAUUUUAUUUUCUUGGGAUAUUGUAAAUGGGAUUAUGUUCCUGAUUUGGCUCUCAGCUUGAAUGUUAUAGAUAUAUAGACAUUUUACUGAUUUUUGUACAUUGAUUUUGUACCCUGAAACUUUGCUAAAGUUGUUUAUCAGUUCCAGGAGCCUUUUAGUGUAGUCUUUAGGGUUUUCUAGGUGUAAGAAUCAUAUUGUAGUGAAGAGAGACGGUUUGACUUCUUCUUUUCUUAUUUGGAUGCUUUUUAUAUCUUUCUUUUGCCUGAUUGCUCUGGCAAGGACUUCCAGUACUAUGCUGAACAGGAGUGAUGAGAGUGGGCAUCCUCUUCUUGCUUUACUUCUCAAGGGAAAUGCUGCCUAGGAAUUAUUAAAAUGCACAUAGCCAUAUAAAUUAGGAGUAAUCAGUCCAUUUCUGUGUGCAUUUUGUUCCUUUACCUACUCCAUCCAUUUCUUGAGCACUGGCAUGUGCCUGCCAUAAAGCAGGGAUUAACAGAUGAGGUGGACACAGCCUCAAUACUUUCUGAAUAGUAUCUAUGGGGGUAGACACAUAAUUGAGCACUGGGAACUUUU